UUUCCGUAGGUGAACCUGCGGAAGGAUCAUUAAAAAAUUGGACUCCAUUGGUGAGUUCAUUAAUAAUCCCUACCCUUUGUGAAUUUGUUUGUUUGAAUAAUUUUUUUUCCAAAAAAAAUUAUUGAAUGUCUUUCCUUGUUUUGGUGGAGCUUGUAAAGUGAAACCAGGCAGGGGAAUGGCAAACAAUAAUUAUUUUUGAAAAAGACCUUUUUUUAAAAUUAAACUUUUUGUAUUCAUUUGUCUAAAAUUAAUUUUUAUAAUAUAAAAACAACUUUUGACAAUGGAUCUCUUGGUUCUCGCAACGAUGAAGAACGCAGCAAAAUGCGAUAAGUAGUGUGAAUUGCAGAAUACGUGAAUCAUCGAAUCUUCGAACGCAUAUUGCACUUUUUUAGUUUUACUAAAAAAGUAUGUCUGUUUGAGUAUCAGUAAAAUAUUCUCAUAAAAAACAUUGUUUUUUUUAUGGUUAUGAGUGUUUUACAACGAUAACAAGUUGUUUCACUUUAAAUUCUUUGUUAUCAAAAAAAUCAUUAAAAGCUAAUUUUAAAGAUUUUUUAAAAUUGGAUAAAAUUUUCCCGUAAAAAGGAAUAACCUAAACAAUUUUAAAAAAUUAAAAUUGGUUUGAUUGUUUUUUUGAAACCCAAAGGAAAAAAAGAACGAAAUUAACUUUGAUCUCAAAUCAGAUAAGAGUACCCGCUGAACUUAAGCAUAUCAAUAAGCGGAGGAAAAGAAAACUAACUAGGAUUCCCUCAGUAACGGCGAGUGAAGCGGGAAGAGCUCAAAUUUGAAAUCUUCAAGGUUUUACCUUGACGAAUUGUAGUUUAAAGAAGUGUUUUCUGUUGGAGUUUUGGUAAAAGUUCUUUGGAAAAGGACAUCAUAGAGGGUGAGAAUCCCGUAUUUGACCAUUAUCUCCAGCUUUGUGAUACACUUUCAAAGAGUCGGAUUGUUUGGGAAUGCAGUCCAAAAUGGGUGGUAAAUCUCAUCUAAAGCUAAAUACUGGCGAGAGACCGAUAGCGAAUAAGUACCGUGAGGGAAAGAUGAAAAGAACUUUGAAAAGAGAGUUAAACAGUACGUGAAAUUGUCAAAAGGGAAGCGUUUGACACCAGUGUUGUUUUCUCGAAAAUCAAUUAAAAAAGGCCGGAUUUUGUGUUGUAUUGGCUUUAUCAGCUUUCUGCACUCUUUUCUUGUCUUUUUUAAUGCACUUUUCGUUUAACAAGUCAACAUCAAUUUCUUUUGUUGUAAAAGGGUCAUUGGAAGGUGGCUUUCUUUCGGAGAAAGUGUUUAUAGCCUUUGGCCUCUGCAAUCGGAGAGAUUGAGGUCUGCAGCGUAGAUCCUUCGGGUUAGAUACAUUUGUGCUAAGUUAUAGCCUUUCAUAGACAACUUGUUGACUAUGAUCAGUCAUGUAGCUUACUCGCUUAUGCUAUUUUACCUACGCUUAGGAUGUUGA
rnacentral:misc_RNA from 1 species